UUCGGACGGGGUGAGUAACGCGUGAGAAUCUGGCUCCAGGUCGUGGGACAACAGUUGGAAACGACUGCUAAUACCGGAUGUGCCGAAAGGUGAAAGAUUAAUUGCCUAGAGAUGAGCUCGCGUCUGAUUAGCUAGUUGGUGUGGUAAGAGCGCACCAAGGCGACGAUCAGUAGCUGGUCUGAGAGGAUGAUCAGCCACACUGGGACUGAGACACGGCCCAGACUCCUACGGGAGGCAGCAGUGGGGAAUUUUCCGCAAUGGGCGAAAGCCUGACGGAGCAAUACCGCGUGAGGGAGGAAGGCUCUUGGGUUGUAAACCUCUUUUCUCAGGGAAUAAAAAAAUGAAGGUACCUGAGGAAUAAGCAUCGGCUAACUCCGUGCCAGCAGCCGCGGUAAUACGGAGGAUGCAAGCGUUAUCCGGAAUGAUUGGGCGUAAAGGGUCCGCAGGUGGCAAUGUAAGUCUGCUGUCAAAGAAUGAGGCUUAACCUCAUCAAGGCAGUGGAAACUACGUAGCUAGAGUACGGUCGGGGUAGAAGGAAUUCCUGGUGUAGCGGUGAAAUGCGUAGAGAUCAGGAAGAACACCGGUGGCGAAAGCGUUCUGCUAGACCUGUACUGACACUGAGGGACGAAAGCUAGCGAGAGCGUAGUGCGGAUUACGAUACCCCAGUAGUCACGCGUUUCUCAACCCGUUC
rnacentral:rRNA from 2 species